GUUAUUUUGGCAAGGAUCACCGGAACUCUAGCUCUGUUCGACGUCGACGGCACUCUCACGGCGCCGAGAAAGUUGAUAACUCCAGUGAUGCUUGAGUUCAUGCGGAGGUUGCGGCAGGUUGUUACUGUGGGGAUAGUUGGAGGUUCGGAUCUGAUCAAGAUCUCGGAGCAGAUCGGGAGUUCUGUCAUCAAUGACUACGACUAUGUAUUCUCUGAGAACGGUCUUGUGGCUUACAAAAAUGGGGAGCUGCUCGGUACCCAGAGUUUGAAAUCAUUCCUCGGUGAAGAAAAUCUCAAGGAAUUCAUCAAUUUUACUCUUCAUUAUAUUGCCGACUUGGAUAUCCCAAUAAAAAGGGGGACGUUCAUUGAAUUCCGGAGUGGAAUGCUCAAUGUCUCACCCAUAGGCCGAAACUGUAGUCAAGAAGAGCGAGAGGAGUUUGAAAAGUAUGACAAGGUUCACAAUGUAAGGUCAAAGAUGGUGUCUGUGCUCCGUGAAAAAUUUGCACAUAUGAACCUGGC
rnacentral:misc_RNA from 1 species